AUUGAACGCUGGCGGCAGGCUUAACACAUGCAAGUCGAGCGGAGAUGAGGUGCUUGCACCUUAUCUUAGCGGCGGACGGGUGAGUAAUGCUUAGGAAUCUGCCUAUUAGUGGGGGACAACAUUCCGAAAGGAAUGCUAAUACCGCAUACGUCCUACGGGAGAAAGCAGGGGAUCUUCGGACCUUGCGCUAAUAGAUGAGCCUAAGUCGGAUUAGGUAGUUGGUGGGGUAAAGGCCGACCAAGGCGACGAUCUGUAGCGGGUCUGAGGGGAUGAUCCGCCACACUGGGACUGAGACACGGCCCAGACUCCUACGGGAGGCAGCAGUGGGGAAUAUUGGACAAUGGGGGGAACCCUGAUCCAGCCAUGCCGCGUGUGUGAAGAAGGCCUUAUGGUUGUAAAGCACUUUAAGCGAGGAGGAGGCUACUGAGACUAAUACUCUUGGAUAGUGGACGUUACUCGCAGAAUAAGCACCGGCUAACUCUGUGCCAGCCGCCGCGGUAACAC
rnacentral:rRNA from 1 species